GUGUCGCUCUAGCUCUUUGGCACGAAGGCCACUUCUUGGUUCCGCUGACGUGCUUUCUCCGCUGGCCCCGCCUAAAUACUAAAUGCAUCGCUGUCUGUAGACCCUUGCAGGGAUCCUGCAGCCCAUGUCUGCUGCCGCUGUAAAUUAAGCUCUCCUGCUGUGUGUUUGUCUGAACUUGGCCUGAUCGGCUCUGCGCUGGAAGCGUGAUAAAGAAGGACUGCUGUUUUGCCUCUACGUCUACGUCUGUGCAUCCACGACUGCUCUACGUCUACGAGUGUCUUGCCUGCCUGACUGAGUGUUGCCUGGACGGCUGGUCUGCCCUAACGGCUGUGUCUGUCUGCACAGCUGGCUUGCCUGCCCUAACUGUGCUUCACCGCUACACUACUGC